rnacentral:lncRNA from 1 species
GAGAACACCAAUCCUGUCGGAGUUGCCAUUUGGAAGAGGAACUUCUGAUGAAAAGCGGUGAACAUUUAUCUUGACACAAUUUUCUUCGGGAGGAACUCAUGCGACAUUCAUUAUGAUUGAGAUAGAGAUGCAAUACUGAGUUUAUAAAUGGAAAGACCUAGCCAAUGCUAAGUCAUGACAGUAUUACUACAAAUGACGCAGGAGUACUAAAG